rnacentral:rRNA from 1 species
AGCGAACGCUGGCGGCAGGCCUAACACAUGCAAGUCGAACGAACCUUUCGGGGUUAGUGGCGGACGGGUGAGUAACACGUGGGAACGUGCCUUUAGGUUCGGAAUAACUCAGGGAAACUUGUGCUAAUACCGAAUGUGCCCUUCGGGGGAAAGAUUUAUCGCCUUUAGAGCGGCCCGCGUCUGAUUAGCUAGUUGGUUGAGGUAAUGGCUCACCACGGCGACGAUCAGUAGCUGGUCUGAGAGGAUGAUCAGCCACAUUGGUACUGAGACACGAACCAAACUCCUACGAGAGGCAGCAGUGGGGAAUCUUGCGCAAUGGGCGAAAGCCUGACGCAGCCAUGACGCGUGAAUGAUGAAGGUAUUAGGAUUGUAAAAUUCUUUCACCGGGGACGAUAAUGACGGUACACGGAGAAGAAGCCCCGGCUAACUUCGUG